rnacentral:rRNA from 1 species
GACGAACGCUGGCGGCGUGCUUAACACAUGCAAGUCGAACGGUGAAGGGACCGGUUUUUGCUGGUUCUGGAUGAGUGGCGAACGGGUGAGUAACACGUGAGUAACCUGCCCCCUUCUUCUGGAUAACCGCAUGAAAGUGUGGCUAAUACGGGAUAUUCUGCGCCUGCUGCAUGGUGGGCGUGGGAAAGAUAUUGUUUCGGUGGGGGAUGGGCUCGCGGCCUAUCAGCUUGUUGGUGGGGUGAUGGCCUACCAAGGCGGUGACGGGUAGCCGGCCUGAGAGGGUGGACGGUCACACUGGGACUGAGACACGGCCCAGACUCCUACGGGAGGCAGCAGUGGGGAAUAUUGCACAAUGGGCGCAAGCCUGAUGCAGCGACGCCGCGUGAGGGAUGGAGGCCUUCGGGUUGUAAACCUCUUUCGCCAGUGAAGCAGGCCUGUCCCUUUUGUGGGUGGGUUGACGGUAGCUGGAUAAGAAGCGCCGGCUAACUACGUG